rnacentral:rRNA from 1 species
GACGAACGCUGGCGGCAUGCCUAAUACAUGCAAGUCGAGCGAACAGAUGAAGUGCUUGCACUUCUGACGUUAGCGGCGAACGGGUGAGUAACACGUAAGGAAUCUACCUAUAAGCGGGGGAUAACAUUCGGAAACGGGUGCUAAUACCGCAUAAUAUCUUCUUCCGCAUGGAAGAAGAUUGAAAGACGGCUCAGCUGUCACUUAUAGAUGACCUUGCGGUGCAUUAGUUAGUUGGUGGGGUAACGGCCUACCAAGACGAUGAUGCAUAGCCGACCUGAGAGGGUGAUCGGCCACAUUGGGACUGAGACACGGCCCAAACUCCUACGGGAGGCAGCAGUAGGGAAUCUUCCGCAAUGGGCGAAGCCUGACGGAGCAAUGCCGCGUGAGUGAAGAAGGCCUUCGGGUCGUAAAACUCUGUUAUAAGAGAAGAACAAAUUGUAGAGUAACUGCUACAGUCUUGACGGUAUCUUAUCAGAAAGCCACGGCUAACUACGUG